rnacentral:misc_RNA from 1 species
AACGCACGAGACCUGCGGACCUGCGGAAGGAUCAUCAAAAAAAAAAGAGAAGAGGGUGAAAGUUUCUUCAUCCUCUCUUUUUUAUUAAUUUUUUCUUUCUUUCCCCCUUUUUCUAUGCUACUCCUAGGAGUUGUAAUUAGAGAAAAAGAGGGUAAAGAAAAGAAACUUGUCGACUUGUUGUCCCCUUUUUUAGAAGAGUUUCUUUUAAAAAAUGGGGUAGACCCUUUUCCCUCUCCAACA